UGGGGAAUUUUGGACAAUGGGCGCAAGCCUGAUCCAGCAAUGCCGCGUGCAGGAUGAAGGCCUUCGGGUUGUAAACUGCUUUUGUACGGAACGAAAAAGCUCUCUCUAAUACAGGGGGUGAAUGACGGUACCGUAAGAAUAAGCACCGGCUAACUACGUGCCAGCAGCCGCGGUAAUACGUAGGGUGCAAGCGUUAAUCGGAAUUACUGGGCGUAAAGCGUGCGCAGGCGGUUUUGUAAGACAGAGGUGAAAUCCCCGGGCUCAACCUGGGAACUGCCUUUGUGACUGCAAAGCUGGAGUGCGGCAGAGGGGGGUGGAAUUCCACGUGUAGCAGUGAAAUGCGUAGAGAUGUGGAGGAACACCGAUGGCGAAGGCAGCCCCCUGGGCCUGUACUGACGCUCAUGCACGAAAGCGUGGGGAGCAAACA
rnacentral:rRNA from 1 species